rnacentral:rRNA from 1 species
AGGCUAUGUUAGCCGGGCGACGGUUGUCCCGGUUUAAGCAUGUAGGCUGGUUGUCCAGGCAAAUCCGGAUAAUCAAGGCUGAGGUGUGAUGACGAGGCACUACGGUGCUGAAGUAACAAAUGCCCUGCUUCCAGGAAAAGCCUCUAAGCAUCAGGUAACAUUAAAUCGUACCCCAAACCGACACAGGUGGUCAGGUAGAGAAUACCAAGGCGCUUGAGAGAACUCGGGUGAAGGAACUAGGCAAAAUGGUGCCGUAACUUCGGGAGAAGGCACGCUGGUGUGUAGGUGAAGU